rnacentral:rRNA from 1 species
AACGAACGCUGGCGGCAUGCCUAACACAUGCAAGUCGAACGAGAUCUUCGGGUCUAGUGGCGCACGGGUGCGUAACGCGUGGGAAUCUGCCCUUUGGUUCGGAAUAACAGUUGGAAACGACUGCUAAUACCGGAUGAUGACGAAAGUCCAAAGAUUAUCGCCCGAGGAUGAGCCCGCGUAGGAUUAGCUAGUUGGUGUGGUAAAGGCGCACCAAGGCGACGAUCCUUAGCUGGUCUGAGAGGAUGAUCAGCCACACUGGGACUGAGCCACGGCCCAGACUCCUACGGGAGGCAGCAGUGGGGAAUAUUGGAAAAUGGGCGAAAGCUUGAUCCAGCAAUGCCGCGUGAGUGAUGAAGGCCUUAGGGUUGUAAAGCUCUUUUACCCGUGAUGAUAAUGACAGUACCGGGAGAAUAAGCUCCGGCUAACUCCGUGCCAGCCGCCGCGGUAA